rnacentral:rRNA from 1 species
CGAAAGUUUCCUUCGGGAAACGAGUAGAGUGGCGCACGGGUGAGUAACACGUAGGUAAUCUACCUUCGGAUGGGGAAUAACAACCGGAAACGGUUGCUAAUACCGCAUAAUGCAGCGGCACCUAAUGGUGACAGUUGUUAAAGCGGGGGAUCGCAAGACCUCGCGUCUGAAGAGGAGCCUGCGGCGGAUUAGCUAGUUGGUAAGGUAAUGGCUUACCAAGGCUACGAUCCGUAACCGGCCUGAGAGGGCGGUCGGUCACACUGACACUGACAUACGGGUCAGACUCCUACGGGAGGCAGCAGUCGGGAAUUUUGGGCAAUGGGCGAAAGCCUGACCCAGCAACGCCGCGUGAAGGAUGAAAUCCCUCGGGAUGUAAACUUCGCAAGAACGGGAAGAAUAAGUAGGGGACAAUACCCCCUAUGAUGACGGUACCGUUUGUAAGCUCCGGCUAACUCCGUGCCAGCAGCCGCGGUAAUACGGGGGGAGCAAGCGUUGUUCGGAUUUACUGGGCGUAAAGGGCGCGUAGGCGGCCAGCGCAAGUCAGUUGUGAAAUCUCCGAGCUUAACUCGGAAAGGUCAACUGAUACUGCGCGGCUAGAGUGCGGAAGGGGCAACUGGAAUUCUUGGUGUAGCGGUGAAAUGCGUAGAUAUCAAGAGGAACACCUGCGGCGAAGGCGGGUUGCUGGGCCGACACUGACGCUGAUGCGCGAAAGCCAGGGGAGCGAACGGGAUUAGAUACCCCGGUAGUCCUGGCCUUAAACGAUGAAUGCUUGGUGUCUGGGGUUA